rnacentral:rRNA from 1 species
UUUUGCAUAAUGAGCCUGCGAGUUGUGGUGUCUGGCAAGGUUAAGCAAACGCGAAGCCGUAGCGAAAGCGAGUCUGAAUAGGGCGCUUAGUCAGAUGCUGCAGACCCGAAACGAAGUGAUCUAUCCAUGAGCAAGUUGAAGCUAGUGUAAGAACUAGUGGAGGACUGAACCCAUAGGCGUUGAAAAGCCCCGGGAUGACUUGUGGAUAGGGGUGAAAGGCCAAUCAAACUUCGUGAUAGCUGGUUCUCUCCGAAAUAUAUUUAGGUAUAGCGUUGUGUCGUAAUAUAAGGGGGUAGAGCACUGAAUGGGCUAGGGCAUACACCAAUGUACCAAACCCUAUCAAACUCCGAAUACCUUAUAUGUAAUCACAGCAGUCAGGCGGCGAGUGAUAAAAUCCGUCGUCAAGAGGGAAACAACCCAGACUACCAGCUAAGGUCCCUAAAUCUUACUUAAGUGGAAAACGAUGUGAAGUUACUUAAACAACCAGGAGGUUGGCUUAGAAGCAGCCAUCCUUUAAAGAAAGCGUAAUAGCUCACUGGUCUAGUGAUUUUGCGCGGAAAAUAUAACGGGGCUAAAGUAAGUACCGAAGCUGUAGACUUGCACACAACUUAGAUUAUUUAAGUUUAGAAUAUGAGAAACUAAGUUAUAUGUUUAGUUAUAUUUUUACUGAUUUUUAUAGAGUAAAGAUAGAAAUAAAACUUAGUAAAAUCAGUAAAAAUAUUCUUAGACUAAAGUUAAGUAGUUUAAGUUGUGUGCAAGUGGUAGGAGAGCGUUCUAUUUGCGUCGAAGGUAUACCGGUAAGGAGUGCUGGAGCGAAUAGAAGUGAGCAUGCAGGCAUGAGUAGCGAUAAUUAAUGUGAGAAUCAUUAACGCCGUAAACCCAAGGUUUCCUACGCGAUGCUCGUCAUCGUAGGGUUAGUCGGGUCCUAAGUCGAGUCCGAAAGGGGUAGACGAUGGCAAAUUGGUUAAUAUUCCAAUACCAACAUUAGUGUGCGAUGGAAGGACGCUUAGGGCUAAGGGGGCUAGCGGAUGGAAGUGCU